UAUUUAACAACACUCUUCACGUGAGGGAAGGGACUCACUAGAAAACUGUAGUGUGUUGAAAAGCCGAAAAAGAUUAUAGGCUGGACAGAGAGAGAGAUUCGUUAAAUUUGAAAAAGACAAUUUGAGAGACAACAUUGCGCUAAGUGCAACCGAGUGAGAAUAUUGCAAUAAAAGUUGAAUAUUUAGUGUCUUUUAUAGAAAAACCUAGAAAAUGGCGGAAUUUGUAGAAAAAUGUUGCGAAGAUAUGAUUUCCGAGUUGGAGCAAAUGAAAAGAAUCAAACUGUUUAAUAAAAAUGAGAUUCGUUAAGCCAAAACACAUAAAUGAUAUGCAUAUAAAUUCUAUUGAACGUCGCACUAAUCAAUAGUUUCAUGCCUCAGAGCUAUUACUCAAAAGUAUAAAGAGUUUGAAUACAAAAUUCAACAUUACACAAAGUGUAAGAAGGACUAUGAACAAUACAUACACUAUAAAAUGAAUCUUUUGGCAUUGAUCAAGCAGCGAAGACAUAUAAUAAGUAAUGAAACCAAGGGGCCAAAGACAGGCUUGCAAUCAAAACAGAGAGAGAGAACGCCAUCUUUAUUUAUGAUGUCAAAAGCGAGAGAAUACACGCUAAAAAUUCUUGCAAAAUGCGUAAAAAUAAAGAUAUAUCUUUUGAAGUGACACUUGAAAUCAAUUGAGGAUUUUGAGUAUAUACUUUCUCACUUCUGACGUCAUCAAUCAAGAGUUCCGCGGAGAGGAGCCAGAAGCUUUAACCAACCAACAUACAAAUAUUCUUCUCAAUAUAUUUACUUUAUAUAUUUACUUUUAUAUAUUUUUUUACUUCUUAUU